rnacentral:lncRNA from 1 species
GCCACUAACCAAUUAGAGCUGGUUAGAAACCCAAGUAAAGUAUGGGAGAAUACUUUACUAUUGCGAACCAGAGAUUCAAUAAGUCCGGGGACAUGAUUACGCUAGAUUAAUCUAACGCCCUUUCGGUACCUUUUAUUUUAAUUUAAAAAAUAUUUAGCAGGCAAUGUUGAUUAAUUUAAACCUAAACUACUAACAUGCAAAUGGUGAUCAUGCGGGUGCACAAUCAAUAAAAUAACAUUCAAUAAAAAAAUGUUAAUAAAAAUGCAUGCCCUAAACAUGAUUUUCUAAAUGACAUGACACCUAAUUUUUCUUUUUCUUUUUUAAAUGUUAAUUAUAUGCAAUCUUAAUCUAAAUUUGAUAUGCAUGGAUUUUACUUUAAUGAUAUGUGAGAUGCAAUUCAUAUGGUAUGACUUAAACUUAU